rnacentral:lncRNA from 10 species
GCAGGCCUCCUUGAGGUGUGGUGGGCUCCACCCAGUUCGAGCUUCCAGGCUGCUUUGUUUACCUAAUCAAGCCUGGGCGAUGGCGGGCGCCCCUCCCCCAGCCUUGGUGCCGCCUUGCAGUUUGAUCUCAGACUGCUCUGCUAGCAAUCAGCAAGACUCUGUGGGCGUAGUACCCUCCGAGCCAGGUGCGGGAUAUUAUCUCGUGGUGCACCGUUUUUUAAGCCCGUCGGAAAAGUGCGGUAUUCCGGGUGGGAGUGACCCGAUUUUCCAGGUGCCAUCCGUCACGCCUUUCUUUGACUCAGAAAGGGAACUCCCUGACCCCUUGCGCUUCCCAAGUGAGGCAAUGCCUCCCCUGCUUCGGCUCGUGCAUGGUGCGCGCACCCACUGACCUGCGCCCAUUGUCUGGCCCUCCCUAGUGAGAUGAACCCGGUACCUCAGAUGGAAAUGCUGAAAUCACCUGUCUUCUGUGUCGCUCACGCUGGGAGCUGUAGACCGGAGCUGUUCCUAUUCGGCCAUCUUGGCUCCUCCCGGGUCCUAUUUCUUAAUAGAAGCAGAUACAGGAAUACAUAUGCAGAUUUGUUACAUGGGAAUACUGCAUGAUGCUGAGGUUUGGAGUACAGAUCCUGUCAACCUGGUAUUGAGCAUAUGUGAAACAUUACUGUUGGGGGAAACUGGAUGAAGGAAAUAUGGGAUAUAUCUAUAUUGUUACACUUGCUUGAAAACCUAAAAUUACAAACUCGUCGUAUAAAUUCAAUCAAUGACCUGGAUUGAAAACAGCUGUUCUGGGAUAUACUGAAUAAAGGGUAUGUGAAAACACCUGUGAGAAGGCAGCCACCUGCAAACCAGAAGGAGAGGCAUCACCAGAAACCAACCCUGCAGUCGUCUUGAUCUUGGACUUUCAUAUUCCAGAACUGUCGGCCUUUUCUUAAAGCCUGGAGAUUGCAGCGGUUUCUUGGUUUGACAUCAUUUUUUCCAAGCG